CAGCUGUGCUCCCACCAGCAGCCGCCCUUGCCCUGUGCAGCUAUCUCUUCCUAUCAGGCCACGCUCAUUUCCAUAUCCAAAUACCUCUCCAGGAGAGGCUGCUGCAGAUAAGGGCAUCCAAAAGCAGCAGUUUCAUUUCUUCCUCCACCCAGAUCAGCUGGGAAGCCACAGCACUGAACAGGCAGAGCGAGCAAGCUGUGUGAUCAUGCAGAUGUGUGCUGCAGCUUAAAUAACUUCAUGACUCUGAAUUGUGCCACCAAGCAAUGGCUCUGCUUCGCUGCCUGACAGCAACUCCAAAACGGGAAAUGCAAAGGACAGAAGAAUCACAGGAACCAGGAUCUGGGCUCACAGUUGCAAUAAUCUGCUGUCCUUGGAAAAGCUUCCUGGAGAGUGGAUCCCAGAGCACUGAUAGACCAAACAGCAGGUGACUGAAAGGAUUACUUUCCCCACAAAUGCUUUGUUUCGACAGCCACCUCAAAGAGCAAAAAGGCAGGUUUUUUAUUUCUAAAUACCAAGGGGCUGAAAAGAAAGGGAGGGCACUAUGUACGUAUUAAAUUCCCUAGGCUGGAAAGCCUCGUGAUUCGGGAUCGUUAUUUCCUCCAAAGCUAGUCUUAAAGCAAACCCAUCUUAGUAGUCUCUCAGUACUUUCUCAGGGGCUUUCGAACUGGCCAGUCCCUCCACCCAAAAAGUAUAAAAAUUAGGCCCUGGGGAAACAGUGAAGAGGAAAAUACCCACAUCUUCAGAAGCUGGGACAGUCCUUGAGCAAAGGGAAGCAAAGCAGUUGAACAGGCAUGGAAGGAAGGAAAUAAACUGGACAAGAGAAACCAGCUCUGUGCAGGAGACUGGGCUGCAGACAGAGCAAGGAGGAGUCAAGGUGAUGUUUGUUUCAGAUCACUCUUUCAAGGGGGAUUUUUUUUCAAGCAUGCAGUUCCCAGCAGCAGAGAACCCAGGUCCAGCUGGGUGGCACCCAUGUGGCACAGUGACUGCCCUUAAAUGACCCAGGUGGUGCACGAUGCCAGAUGACAGCAAGCCAGGAAAUGCCAAACCUAAAAUACCCCGUCACACUUACACACAGCCUACUCCUGCAGAUGACAAAUCCUUAUAACCUGUGAUCCCCUGGCCAAAUGAAAUGUGUAAGCAGGUGCCCUUUUAAAGCCCCUAUAUUCCUCCACACGCUGCCUUGAUCAAUACAGCCGUUGUUUAUUUACUCCGCUGUUCUGAGCUACGUGACAAGGCACAGCAGCGAAACUCUACCUGGACAUCGGCUCCGUGGGGGAUUGGAUGCGUGCGGACGGUGUGAUCUAUGCA